UUAUUUUAAUGUAAAAAAAAUUCAAAAGCAAAAAUUCAAGUUUAAAAAAUUCAAUUAAAAUAAAUUCAGGUUGCUCAAAUUCGACCUGUCAAAUUCGACUGCUAAAAUACAACGCUCAAAAUUCGCUGUCAACAUCCGGGACACACAGGAUGAGCAAUCGAUUCAGUCUUCAAUCGAGCCAACAACCAGCCAAUCACAUCACGCUCCGAAGAUCACGUGACAGGUAGCGCCUCACGGCUCAGAGCCGCUCAACGCGAGUCACAGCCCCCUCCGCUGCUCCUCUCGAGUAGGUUGAAAAGAAGAUGGAGAAGUUUCAGCUUGCAGCUAUGGAGAGUUCACCACGAAAAGAACGAAGUCAAAGAAUACAAAGAUCUGUCCAUAUUCUGAAGUCACCACUUGAAGAUUUUAUGCAGAAUUAUUUGGAUUAUGAAUAGGAACCACAUUAUUUGCAACAGCUUUUAUUAUUUAUACAAACAAGAUGAACAUGAUAUGAUGUGCCAGAAUAUAGGGAGGCUGCCUAAAACAUACAAAAAAAAUACAGAACACAUGUAAACAACUAAAGAAAAACAGAACAUGGCACAUGUAAAUAAAUCAAAUAAACACAGCACAGACUGCAUGAAA